AUAGAUAGAUAGAUAUUUUUAUUUUAAAGUACAACUUGGUACAUAUACAUGAAAUACAAUAUAUUGCAGUUUUAAACAUAAGCAUUCAAUUAACAUGUAUAAUUAUUAUACCAACCAGCCUUUGGAGGCUUAUAGGCCUAAUUCUUGUUAGAUACAAUGUAGUUUCAAUAUAUCAGUUGUGUUUAAUAAUUAAAUGAGAAAAUAAGGAUGAAAGUAGCUUAACUGAAAAUUUGGAGGAUAAGAGUUGUCUCUCUUUGUACUAUACCAUUUACAUUAAGGAAAAAAAUAGAAAUUGAAAUCAAAGAUAAAAGAGAAUUUAUCGCCUAGAAUUGACUAAAUUCUGACAGUUGAUCUAUAUAAAAGUAAUUUAUCCCAUUUGCUGUGAAAGCAAAAUAGUAUGUAAACACUUUGGCUAAUAUUUGAAAAUGUAAACAGGUAAAUGUAAAUGCAUACAAGUAAACAAAAAUAUGACACUAUUUAUCACAAUAAGUACAUAGCAAGCAUGUGUAACAAUGAACUAAACAGACCCCUACUUAGUACAAUUCAGAUAUCAUAAAAAUAUAUAUUUAAUGACUAGAGUUAUAUAUUGAUAUAUUGAUCGAUUAAA
rnacentral:lncRNA from 1 species